GAUGAACGCUGGCGGCGUGCCUAAUACAUGCAAGUCGAGCGAACAGACGAGGAGCUUGCUCCUCUGACGUUAGCGGCGGACGGGUGAGUAACACGUGGAUAACCUACCUAUAAGACUGGGAUAACUUCGGGAAACCGGAGCUAAUACCGGAUAAUAUAUUGAACCGCAUGGUUCAAUAGUGAAAGACGGUUUUGCUGUCACUUAUAGAUGGAUCCGCGCCGCAUUAGCUCGUUGGUAAGGUAACGGCUUACCAAGGCAACGAUGCGUAGCCGACCUGAGAGGGUGGUCGGCCACACUGGAACUGAGACACGGUCCAGACUCCUACGGGAGGCAGCAGUAGGGAAGCUUCCGCAAUGGGCGAAAGCCUGACGGAGCAACGCCGCGUGAGUGAUGAAGGUCUUCGGAUCGUAAAACUCUGUUAUUAGGGAAGAACAAAUGUGUAAGUAACUAUGCACGUCUUGACGGUACCUAAUCAGAAAGCCACGGCUAACUACGUG
rnacentral:rRNA from 1 species